rnacentral:rRNA from 1 species
GAUGAACGCUGGCGGCGUGCCUAAUACAUGCAAGUCGAGCGAACAGACGAGGAGCUUGCUCCUCUGACGUUAGCGGCGGACGGGUGAGUAACACGUGGAUAACCUACCUAUAAGACUGGGAUAACUUCGGGAAACCGGAGCUAAUACCGGAUAAUAUAUUGAACCGCAUGGUUCAAUAGUUAAAGACGGUUUUGCUGUCACUUAUAGAUGGAUCCGCGCCGCAUUAGCUAGUUGGUAAGGUAACGGCUUACCAAGGCAACGAUGCGUAGCCGACCUGAGAGGGUGAACGGCCACACUGGAACUGAGACACGGUCCAGACUCCGACGGGAGGCAGCAGUAGGGAAUCUUCCGCAAUGGGCGAAAGCCUGACGGAGCAACGCCGCGUGAGUGAUGAAGGUCUUCGGAUCGUAAAACUCUGUUAUUAGGGAAGAACAAAUGUGUAAGUAACUAUGCACGUCUUGACGGUACCUAAUCAGAAAGCCACGGCUAACUACGUG